GGAACUUUGAGGGGCAGAAAAAUCCAUGGCACAUAUCAGAUUAUAAAAUAAUACACUAGGUGUAUCAAGUUGUAUUCUUUAGAGUUGAAUUUUUUUUCACCCUAGUGUCUCUUCCUAAAUGGUACAUCUAAUAUGUCUAGAAGUCUCAGUGACUCUACCUUCAAAAUAUAUACAAAAUUCAGGAAGUUCCUCAGACAAAAAAGAAUUAUGAGACCAACCAUAAACCUGUAUCUACGUCAAGAAGUGAAGAGUAUGGGAAAUGGACUAAGGCAAGAUUUUGAAAAUUUAAUUCUGAAUCACUUCAUUGGCUCCAUGAAGAAGUUGAACAAAGCUGUAUUCAGCUUUUCAUUAUCUUUCAAUUAAUUAUGAUCCUCCAAACACGGUAAGCGUGAGAAUUUAAACUGUCAA